GAUGAAGAACGUAGCGAAAUGCGAUACUUGGUGUGAAUUGCAGAAUCCCGUGAACCAUCGAGUCUUUGAACGCAAGUUGCGCCUCAAGCCAUUAGGUUGAGGGCACGUCUGCCUGGGCGUCACAUAUCGUUGCCUGAUGCCAGUUUCCUCGUGAUGGGUGACUCUGCAGGGCGAAUGAUGGCUUCCCGUGAGCAUUGUUGCCUCAUGGUUGGUUGAAAAUUGAGUCCUUGGUAGGGAGCGCCGUGAUAGAUGGUGGUUGAGUGACGAACGAGACCCAAUCAUGUGAGACCCCUACCGAAUUUGGCCUUCAUGACCCACAUGCGUCUUUGGAACGCUCAUGACGAGACCUCAGGUCAGGCGGGGCUACCCGCUGAGUUUAAGCAUAUCAAUAAGCGGAGGA
rnacentral:misc_RNA from 1 species